rnacentral:rRNA from 1 species
GAUGAACGCUGGCGGCGUGCCUAAUACAUGCAAGUCGAGCGAAGCGGGGACGGGUGAGUAACACGUGGAUAACCUCCUAUAAGACUGGGACAACUUAGGGAAACCGUAGCUAAACCGGCUACUUUUAGAUGGCUCCGCGCCGCAUUCGCUAGUGGGUAAGUUAACGGCUUACCAAGGCAACGAUGCGUCGCCGACCUGAGAGGGUGAUCGGCCACACUGGAACUGAGACACGGUCCAGACUCCUACGGGAGGCAGCAGUAGGGAAUCUGCCGCAAUGGGCGAAAGCCUGACGGAGCAACGCCGCGUGAGUGAUGAAGGUCUUCGGAUCGUAAAACUCUGUUAUUAGGGAAGCGGUACCUAAUCAGAAAGCCACGGCUAACUACGUGCCAGCAGCCGCGGUAAUAC